rnacentral:rRNA from 1 species
UACGAACCGUGCGAACGUUGUUCGGAAUUACUGGGCGUAAAGGGCGCGUAGGCGGCCGAUCAAGUCAGGCGUGAAAUUCCCGGGCUCAACCUGGGGGCUGCGCUUGAUACUGAUUGGCUUGAAUGCGGGAGAGGAUAGUGGAAUUCCCAGUGUAGAGGUGAAAUUCGUAGAUAUUGGGAAGAACACCAGUGGCGAAGGCGGCUAUCUGGCCCGUUAUUGACGCUGAGGCGCGAAAGCGUGGGGAGCAAACAGG